rnacentral:tRNA from 1 species
GGAGAGAUGUCCGAGAGGCCGAAGGAGCACGACUGGAAAUCGUGUGAACCCAAAAGGUUCCGCGGGUUCAAAUCCCGCUCUCUCCG